rnacentral:tRNA from 1 species
AGCCCCGUGGUGUAACGGUAGCACAUAACACUUUGACUGUUACGGACGCAGUUCGAAUCUGCGCGGGGUUG